AGAGUUUGAUCAUGGCUCAGAGUGAACGCUGGCGGGAGGCCUAACACAUGCAAGUCCAACGGCAGUGGAGGAAGAGCUUGCUCUUAUGGGGGGCGAGGGGCGGACGGGUGAGAAAUACAUCGGAAUCUACCUUUGCGAGGGGGAUAACGUAGGGAAACUUACGCUAAUACCGCAUACGACCUUCGGGUGAAAGCAGGGGACCUUCGGGCCUUGCGCGAAUAGAUGAGCCGAUGUCGGAUUAGCUAGUUGGCGGGGUAAAGGCCCACCAAGGCGACGAUCCGUAGCUAGUCUGAGAGGAUGAUCAGCCACUCUGGAACUGAGACACGGCCCAGACUCCUACGGGAGGCAGA
rnacentral:rRNA from 1 species